rnacentral:rRNA from 1 species
AUGUCCGCCAAGAGGAAGCCCGGCAGGUCGCCGGCGGCGGCGGCGAAUGCGACGACGCAGGCGAAGGAAGACGACGCGGGGGGCCUCUUCUCCUCGCGCUCCUCCGCCUACCUCGGCCUCCAAGCUUUGAGAGAUAUUCAGAGCAAUGAUCUACUACUUUACAGCAAAACAGGGUGCCUAUCAAAAAGAUACUCCAAAGACUUCGGGGAAGCUCUUCGAGUUUUCUCCCCCAGUAAAACAGGGCGCCUAUCGAAAGUUCGAAGAUUGUGUCUGGGUAUGGGAUUUCCACUAAUCUCAUGUCUUGAAGGCCCAAUACAGUUUAUCAUCAGAAAUAAAAGAGAACUAUACAAGCAAAGUACUUUACAGAUGCCUUUUUGUUCACUAUAUAAAACAAUGACCAGCAGCCAACCACGAUCUUCAACAGCAAAGAAUUCCUCAUGCCAAAACGUGUUCUUCAUGUAUACUAUUAUCCUUAAGACGGCUGGAUCGACAGGAAGCUGCUGGAACCCGGCCUUGACGCACCUUGCGUGCCACUGUCGGUGGCUCCUCAUCUGA